AUUCUAACUAGAAGCAAUACUGAUGGCCCAAAACAAGAUGAUUGUGGUGGUUCUCCUCCUUGCCACCUUUCUUGUGGUGGCAAGAUCGUUGUGGGUUCCAGAAGAACCCUCAAAUGCGGAUGACAUAAGAGGUGCUUGCAUCGAGGAGUGCACCAAAGAAAAUAAGGCUCCUGGCGACAAGAAGACAUGCGAAGUGUUGUGCACCAAGCUCACAAAAAAGCCUAGCGAAGAAGGCAAACAUGAUUGAUGAAGUAGCACUCCGAUAAUAUAUACCCUAGUGGAUGAGUGGUCAUCUUUGUAGCCAUGUCUGCCACACGAUGGCCUUGAUUAUAUUGUCUUAUUGUUUUGUUUUUGGUUUCCACUAGUAUCCUAAUUCCUUGUUCAUGUAACCUAAUGUCACUCAAAGCAUUUUAUAUGCUUCACUUAAUUAAAUAAAUACAAAGGCAAAGGCAUGUUCUGUUUUGGUCUAAUUGGAAUAUCAUAGGUCAAACCGAUCUAUAAAAAGAAUGGUAAAUAUUCUUAUAUAUAGAUAUGUUCAAUGUGCGAAUAUGAUCAAAUACUGAAAAAGUUGAUACC
rnacentral:lncRNA from 7 species